UAAAAUUUUCAUCUAUUUUACCACUUUCACACUAGCAUAUUUAAUAUUAUUCACAAAUUAAGAUAAAAUUGUGAUCUCAAUAGAUUCACAGAAUGCAUUUAAUAAAAUCCAAUACCCAAUUGUCUUAGUUUGUUUGCACUACUAUACAAAAUACCUCAUCAUUUGUAAUUUAUAAAGAAUGGAAAUUUAUUUGUCACAGUUCUGGAGGAUGGAAAGUCCAAGAUUAAGGUGUCAAGAGGUUCUGUGCACUGAGGGCCCAGUCUCUGUUUCAAAGAUGUCACUUUGAAGGCUAUAUCCUCACUUGGAAGAAGGGAAGGAAGGGCAUAAAAUGACCUCACCCAGUUCCCUCUAGCCCUUUUAUAAGACACUAAUUCAUUGAUGAGGGCAGAGCACCUUCAUAUCUUAGUCACUUCCCUACAGGUGCCACCUCUUAGUACCACUACAAUGGGGAAUAAGUUUCAACAUGACAUCUGGAAAAGACACAUUCAAAGCAUAGCACCAGUCUUUAUUAAAAAACAAAAAAGUCUUUUAACAGAUAAGUUCCAUAGCCUGGUAAACCAUAAACCUGAUCACAGGUAAUGAUAAAACACUAAAACCAUCCAAUUGAAAAUAUAAACAAGAUAAAGACAUGUGCUAUCAUCAUUACUAUCAAAUCUUGUCUGAAGAUCCCAGGCAAGCAGAAAAGAGAGAGAGAGAGAAAAAUGAAAGAUAAAAGGAUUGAAGAAGAAGAAGCAAAACUCUCCGUUAUUCACAGACAAUGAACCACAGUGUGAUUGUGGACAUCUAAGAAGUCUGUGAUCUAAGAAGUCACUAAUGAAAAAUGUGUAUCUUGAAUGAUCUUUGGGAAUUUCUGACAGAUCCAACAAUUUGACAGGUUUUCUCCAGUAGCAGUAUUCUGAGACAGUUUGUUUACAGUAUUAUUGUGCUAUUCUAAACAUUGCAGUAAUGGAAAUAGGAACAAAAGGGUGAUUAAAGCUUUAAGAGUAAAGGAAGAUAUUCUGAAAAUGCAAGGACGUGUAAAUGAAAGGGACAUCUCUCACCAUGUAAUACAGCAGCUUCCCCUGUCACCUUCUGCCAUGAAUAUAAGCUUUCUGAAGCCCUCACCAGAAGCAGAUGCCAGCUCUAUGCUUCAUGUACAGACUGCAGAACCAUGGGACAAGGUUGCAGCCCAAAAGACUGCUUCAGAGAACCAAAUCAACAUUUCCCAUUCCAGCCAAGAUGCGCACACACCAAAACACAGGCACUAGUCACUCUGCUCACUGCCGAAGUUUGACGUGGGAGGUUUGGCAAGACCUUGAAAGAGGCAAGAAGACCUCUAAGAAGGCCACAAAACCUUCAAGGAGGCCAUAAGACUUCCAAGGAAGCAACAAGACCUUCUGAGAGGCCACAAGAACUCCAAGGAGGUCACAAGAUCUGUCAAUAGGCAAGACAUCAGAGAUAGCCGCUAGUUCGGUGGAACUGAGUGGCCACUUGGCUUGUCUCUGGGUCCAUCCCAGUGGAAAGGGGGCACUGAGCCAAAUGUCCACAAGGGGCUCUUGAAUAGCUCUUAUAACAAAAUUUGUUAUAGGGCCAACAUGUUUAUAUGCCCACUGCACAGUAACAGACCAAUUACACUGAGGCAGCAGGGAUGCAGCAGAGAAAGAAUUUAAUUAUUGUAGGGUGCCAAGUGAAGAGGUGGAAGGAUAACAUCAAAUCCAUCUCCCCAGGGAGUUCUGAGCUGGCAUUUUCAAGGAGAUUGUGGAAGAUGAGAGGCUGAAAAAUUGGGAUCAUUGAUUGGCCAGGGCAAACAGGAUGAAAUCAUCAGAAUGUGGAAACUGCAUUCUUUGGUGAGUCAGCUUCUCACAAGGUUCUUCAGCCCAACUGGCAUCAGUGGGGUCCUUCAGACCAGCUGAGUCAGUAGUUUCAUCAGGACCUGAAGGAAUAUCUCAAAGAGAAAACUUAAUGUCUCAUAAUGUUCAGGUUGUUAUCUAUAGACCAGUUACGGGGAACUAUAAUCCAGGGUCCAUGUGAUUCCAGGACAGUCAGCACCAAACAACUCCAAGGAUGCAGGUCAGAGAGCAGGCUGACCUAAUGAUGAAUGCUGGACAUGGUGCAAGCUUGGUUUAUUUUUGUUUCUUCCUUCUCUUCUUCCCUGAUUAAUUUUAUAAACUUUAUCCAGGUGGUUUCAACACUUGGAUCCAGUAAACAAGGAUAUUAAAGAGAUGAGGUAUGCAGUCACAAAGAAAGAUAAAUAGGCCAGUGGAAAAUACGAGAAUCCUGGUCCUGAAACAAACACUGGUAGCUUAAUAUUGGACAGAAAUGGCAUGAAAGAUAGUAAACAAAGGAUGGUUUAUGUAGUAAAUCACAAAAGGACAACUGGCCUUACAUUUGGAGAAAGAAUAAAGCAAAUGAGCAAAAAGCCUGGAGUUGUGGAUCAUCCGUCUAAUCCCAACACUUUGGAAGGCUGAGGUGGGUUGAUCUUAAGCUCAGGGGUUUGAGACCAGCUUGGACAACAUAGUGAGACUUCAUCUCUACUAAAAUAAACAAAUAAAUUAAUUAGUUAAUUAAUAGCUGAGCAUCAUGGUGCAUGCCUGUAGUCCCAGCUGCUCAGGGGCCUGAGGCAGGAGGAUUGCUUGAGCCUGGAAGUUGGAGGCUUCACUGACUUAUGAUAUGCCAUUGCACUCCUAUCUGGAAGACAGAAGGAGACCCUGUCUCAAAAAAACAAAACAGAACAGAACAAUAAACAUUUACUGGAUUUCAAGAGGAGACCAAUCUUUACUUUUACAUGUAAAAGUGAUGAAAUACAUUAUUAAGGAAAACAUUGAUAGAUUUUGCUAUAAAAAUGUUACAAAUUCUCUAGGUUAAAAACAUGUAAACCAAAUUGAAAAGAAACAAGCUGGAAAACCUAGGUACAUGCAGUUAAUGAAGUUUUUACUAAAAAGAAAAAGCAUUCAAACUAUUCUGGAGAGUGUACCAAGACCCAAAGCAGUAAAUUUACAGAAACAAAAUUUAAAUGAGUAAUGCACAUAAUAAAAUAUACUAUGUCCCUUAAAAAAACACCGCAUAUUCUCACGCAUAGGUGGGAAUUGAACAAUGAGA
rnacentral:lncRNA from 1 species